GGUGCUCAGACGCUGCUUCCCCAGCAGCGCCGGUGAGGACGUGGCAACACUACCUCGAACAGGCUGCUUCCCCUUCCUCCACCCGUCGGGCUAGAGGCGCGGGGUGGCGCAAAGACUGCUGGGAACGCGCAUGCGCCCACCGCGGCGGGGAGUAUACCUCCAACGUCUGCGGGCGCGAGGGGUGUCGGGUGUCGGCGGCGGCGCUUUGCGGCUAGUCGUGCGGGUCGGGCGCGGGCGGGCGGGCGCGGCGGCAGUGGCGCGCACAGGUGAUUGACUGGCCAGCUGGCUGAGGGAUCGCCUGGUCCCCAUUGCUGGCAGGUGGCGGAGCCCAUUUGGGCGGCGGCAGCGGCAGCAGCAACAGCAGCGACGGCUCGGCUCGGGAGGCGCUCUUCGGGCCAAGGCCAUGGCCCCGCGGCUGCAGCUGGAGAAGGCGGCCUGGCGCUGGGCGGAGACGGUGCGGCCCGAGGAGGUGUCGCAGGAGCACAUCGAGACCGCGUACCGCAUCUGGCUGGAGCCUUGCAUCCGCGGCGUGUGCAGACGAAACUGCAAAGGAAAUCCGAAUUGCUUGGUUGGGAUUGGUGAGCAUAUUUGGUUAGGAGAAAUAGAUGAAAAUAGUUUCCAUAACAUUGAUGAUCCCAACUGUGAGAGGAGAAAAAAGAACUCAUUUGUGGGCCUCACUAACCUUGGAGCUACUUGUUAUGUCAACACGUUUCUUCAAGUGUGGUUUCUCAACUUGGAGCUUCGGCAGGCACUAUACUUAUGUCCAAGUACCUGUAGCGACUACGUGAUGGGAGAUAGUAUCCAAGAGGAGAAAGAUUAUGAACCUCAGACAAUUUGUGAGCAUCUCCAGUACCUGUUUGCCUUGUUGCAAAACAGUAACAGGCGAUACAUCGAUCCAUCGGGAUUUGUUAAAGCCUUGGGCUUGGACACAGGACAACAGCAGGAUGCCCAAGAAUUUUCAAAGCUAUUUAUGUCUCUUUUGGAAGAUACUUUGUCUAAACAAAAGAAUCCAGAUGUGCGGAACAUUGUCCAGCAGCAAUUCUGUGGAGAAUAUGCUUAUGUAACUGUCUGCAACCAGUGUGGCAGAGAGUCUAAGCUUUUAUCAAAGUUUUAUGAACUGGAGUUAAAUAUCCAAGGCCAUAAACAGUUAACAGAUUGUAUCUCGGAAUUUUUGAAGGAAGAAAAAUUAGAAGGAGACAAUCGAUACUUUUGUGAAAACUGUCAAAGUAAACAGAACGCAACAAGGAAGAUCAGACUCCUCAGCCUUCCCUGCACCCUGAACUUACAGCUGAUGCGCUUUGUCUUUGACAGGCAAACUGGACAUAAGAAAAAGCUGAAUACCUACAUUGGCUUCUCAGAAAUUUUGGAUAUGGAGCCUUAUGUGGAACAUAAAGGUGGGUCCUAUGUGUAUGAACUGAGUGCAGUCCUUAUACACAGAGGAGUGAGUGCUUAUUCUGGCCACUACAUUGCCCAUGUGAAAGAUCCACAGUCCGGUGAAUGGUAUAAGUUUAAUGACGAAGACAUAGAAAAGAUGGAGGGGAAGAAAUUACAACUAGGGAUUGAGGAAGAUCUAGCAGAACCUUCUAAGUCCCAGACACGUAAACCCAAGUGUGGCAAAGGAACUCACUGCUCUCGAAAUGCAUACAUGUUGGUGUAUAGACUACAAACUCAAGAAAAACCCAACACAAUUGUUCAGGUACCAGCCUUUCUUCAAGAGCUGGUAGAUCGGGAUAAUUCCAAGUUUGAGGAGUGGUGUAUUGAAAUGGCCGAGAUGCGUAAGCAAAGUGUGGAUAAAGGAAAAGCAAAGCACGAAGAGGUUAAGGAGCUGUACCAAAGGUUACCUGCUGGAGCUGGUCUGUAAGAUAUUCUGGGACAGCACUGCUGCCAUUAUGUGCCUUGUUUCUUUCGUGUUCACAAAUGUAUAUGAACAAACUUUCCCCUACCCUUUCUUAUAACCCACUAACGCCAGCUUAAGCACUAUAAAAUUACUAUGUAAACGAGCAAUAAUUUGAUGCAUAGCAUUCCAUAUAGUUUUCAUUAUCAUGUACUUUUAAGAAUGGGAAGCUCUUAACAAAUUAAAAGGUUUAGGUCAGCAUUCUGCAUAUGUAUGAGUCUUACAGGCAUUUCUAUUUUGUGAGAUAUUAAUUUGUUCUUAAAAAUCUGAUUGGGUUAUGGAAGCAACUCACUGCCCUCACAGUCUUAACAGGCAGUCUUGUCUGUGUACUAUUUUUAAUGAUACUAUUAUACUAAUUUGAAAUUUAAUAUCAAACAUUAUGCUAAGAAUGGAGAGCUUUCUGCUGACCCUUAAUUUUUUAAGAAUUAUCCCACACAAGCCAGCUCAUCCCUUUACUGUGUAUGUUUAUUCAAGUUUACCUAGUGCCUUAGAAAAUCCCAACUUUUUAAGCCUUCAGUACCAUUGGUAACGAUGUGUCUUUAACGUUUCCUAGGCAGACUUCCCCAUGUCCAAUUCCUACGUAAAGAAGAGAGGCAAUUUAAUCCUAAAUUUUGAAGAUAAAUACUCAAGUAUAAUUGUACUUGUGGUUUUGUCUUUUUCAUAUCUUAUUUUUCCAUUACUGGUAUACUCUUUUAAACAAAAGAUGAAUAUAAAUUGCUAAAUCUGUAAGAGUGACUCUGAACAGUUCUUUCUAAACCACAUCUUUAUUUGAUUCUGACUUUUUUUUGUAAUGCGUUGGUCUCACUCUGUCCCAAGGGUUGGGAUUAUUCUAAAGAAUGAGACUGACCCUGAUGUUACUGAAAAUGAUUUGGACGUGAAUAUGAUUCAAAUACCUAAAUUUAUUCAAAGGAGUUGAGACCUAGAAAUCUACUUUUUGAACUGUAUUCCUAGUUUUCUGCAUUCACUGGACAAGAGAAUGGUUCAAAACUGCAUUUUAUGUUAGAUGCAGUUAAGUUCCUCUCUUUUAAAACCGCAUUGUCCAAAGGCAGGAUGUGUCUGGUUAGCACAUACUUGGGCAUCUCCUGGCUGUUUUCAGUCUCUAAGAAACUGCUCUUGUGUUCUUAGAAUAUCUCUCCGUUAUCAGUACUUUUACCAGUUAGGAACAUCUUCCUCCCAUUUGCAGUAAACAUACAUAGUAGAAUAUCUAUGUCGUGUUAAGUGUUGAAAAUCCAAAAUCAGAUGAAUGUGGUUUUGUGCUGCCAAUCCUAGUCUUUGUUAUGCAUUUUCUAACUCUUACUUGUGUUUGUGAACAUUUAUAUAAAAGAAGAGUCAUUUAUCCUAAAACAUAUGUCUCAUUGGGAACACAGACACUUUUGGCCCUUUUUAUUGAAAUUUAAAUAAGGUAUCUGCAAAUAAUGGUAAAGUAUCUCUAGGUGUGAAGUGUUGCAAAUAUUUUUGAGGCCACAGUCUUUGUAGACUUUUGUAAUUCCCCCCAAGGGAUUUCCUUGUGUUCAAAAUUCAGGCAUUAAAAAAAAAAAAAGUUAUACAUAACUUUAACCAAAAUGUACAUUUCUCUCUGGUAAAUACUGUCACAAGUGCUUUCCUGUUUUGUGAAGUGGUGAGAUGAUAGACCGUUCAGUAUUUCCACCUUGGCGAUUAGAGUGCGCAUUCCUUUUUCGGUGCUUGAUUACCCAUGCCUUCGGAAGACAGUGCUGAGCUGGUUUGCUAGAUCACAAAUCAUAGGGAAUCUGCCAUGAGUCUUUCUCUAGGACAGAAACGUCAGUAGUGUAAAAACUCUCCAGAAGCAGAUCUGCCUUAACUCUUGAGACUUGAGCUCGUCCCUGAUUGUCUGGGAACUCUUGGCAGAGACUGAUCCAACUCUUUAUAGUAAUCGAGAUUGGGAAUGGAAAGACAGACAGACCUAUGUGAACCACAGCCCCUCUUCCUUCCAUGGGUCCUCCAGCACACUAAAACUAGCACCCUGAAUCUAGAAAAUCAGUAGAAUUAAUAAUACAGAAUUCCAUCAGAACCCCAGAACUGCUCUCUGCUCUCUCCCUUCCUCCUCUUACUGUAAAAUCAGAUGUGAUUUUUCUGAUCUUCAUGACUUACUUUUAAUUCGUAUGUAACUGCUCAAAACCAAAACAAUAACCUUCACUUGGAAGUUUUCUGUGGGAUUCGAGUAGGGGAUUGGGAAAUCUUGUCUGAAGCAGAUUGCCUUUGAGUCACAUUAUCAUACAGGUCCGGGAUACAGCCACCCUGGGCUUUCAAUUCCAGCAGCCGGCCCUUGGCACAGAGUGUUUUCUGUACUUCCUGGACUCCUUUUCUCGUGAGGGUCGGGAUCCUUAUGGUUUGUUUGCAGUUAGCAAUAGUGGGCAUUGUCUGCUCUUCCCUCCCCAGCACCUGGGGACAUGAGAACACCUGGUGAAUGGUUCUUGAAUGUUCCUCUGUGUCACAGUUCAGUUUUCCCUCCUUUGAUGGUCUUCAGAUUAGUAAAAAUUUUAACCUAUGUGACUGUAUUUGAGAAAGGAUUAGAUAUGCUAAGAGUUUCAUUUUGCUUUCUUGGACAGAGAUCAUGUAUCUUAGUAAAAUUCUGAAGAUAACCAGGUGUACUCUGUCCCUGGCAGAUUAAACUCGAUAAAUGCCAAAUAAAAUUGGGAAGUAUUUUGAAUUUAAUUAGCUGUAUCAUUAUAUAUUGUAGAGUGUCACAACCAUGUUACCUAUACUGAAUCUUAAGGUCUCCACUUUAUAUAUUGUGUGAAUGUAUGAUUAACUUUUCUAUAUCUCUUUUCUUCCAAAAAGCUCAAAAUGCUUCACAUAUCUUAUCUUUUACAUUCAACAACAUCCCUGUGAGAGCCCUAUGAAUUUGUCUCUCUCGAGUGGCUACAGAA